AGUGAACGCUGGCGGUAGGCCUAACACAUGCAAGUCGAACGGCAGCACAGUAAGAGCUUGCUCUUACGGGUGGCGAGUGGCGGACGGGUGAGGAAUACAUCGGAAUCUACUUUUUCGUGGGGGAUAACGUAGGGAAACUUACGCUAAUACCGCAUACGACCUACGGGUGAAAGCAGGGGAUCUUCGGACCUUGCGCGAUUGAAUGAGCCGAUGUCGGAUUAGCUAGUUGGCGGGGUAAAGGCCCACCAAGGCGACGAUCCGUAGCUGGUCUGAGAGGAUGAGGAGACACACGGGAGCGAAGACACGGUCCAGACGCCAACGGGAGGCAGCAGUGGGGAAUAUGGGAAAAUGGGCGCAAGCCUGAUACAGCCAUAACGCGUGGGUGAAGAAGGCCUGCGGGUUGUAAAGCCCUUUUGUUGGGAAAGAAAGGCAGCAGGUUAAUACCCCGCUGUUCUGACGGUACCCAAAGAAUAAGCACCGGCUAACUUCGUG
rnacentral:rRNA from 1 species